GUGCUCGCUUCAGCACCAUAUAUACUAAAAUCAGAGUGACACAGAGAACAGUAGCAGGUCCCUGUACAAGAAUGACACAAAUAUGUGAAGUGUUCCAUAUUUUU